rnacentral:rRNA from 1 species
CAACGAGCGCAACCCUCGUCCUUAGUUGCUAGCAGUUCGGCUGAGCACUCUAAGGAGAACUGCCUUUCGCAAGGAGGAGGAAGGUGAGGACGACGUCAAGUCAUCAUGGCCCUUAUGGCCAGGGCUACACACGUGCUACAAUGGGGCGUACAGAGUGUUGCGAUACCGCGAGGUGGAGCUAAUCACUUAAAGCGUCUCUCAGUUCGGAUUGGAGUCUGCAACUCGACUCCAUGAAGCUGGAAUCACUAGUAAUCGUAGAUCAGCAAUGCUACGGUGAAUACGUUCCCGGGUCUUGUACUCACCGCCCGUCACACCAUGGGAGUUGAUUUCACCCGAAAUCGGGAAGCCAACCUUCGGGGGGCUACCGCUUACGGUGGAAUUAGCGACUGGGGUGAAGUCGUAACAAGGUAACC